GGUUGCCACGCAGUGCUUCAACUACAGUAGAUUUUCUAGAAGGAAUAAAAAACCUGGAAGAACUUUGGCUGAGCUAAUUUGGGGGAAAAAGAAACCAAUUAAAAGGCAAUUAAGGCUCCUGUAAAAUUGUGGGGCAUGGAAAAAAACAGCUCAAUAAACAAACACUCCUGGAGAAAACUAACUUUGAACUCACCUUGGACACAAGGUGGUGAAGUACUGCAUGUUUUAUUAAGUAAGUUAAUUGCAUGUUGGAAAAAGGCCUCGGGUAAUGCCUCCAGGCUGAAGACGGAGUAUUCUCCUCUGCACAGGACAGCCUGGGUUACCCAACAUUCCACAGCCACAGUCCAUAGGAACCAGAGAAGAGCUGCACCAAACAUGGACUUGAUGUAGAUAACAACAAACAAGACAAAGCCAACAGUAAUUGGUGGAUGCCUUCUGGCUAUAUUCCCUUUAUGAAAAAAGGGUUCCCAGAAGUAUAACCUUGAAAUGCCAAUGCAAGAAAUCAGAGGGUUAGAAAUGGACUGAUACAGCAAGAAUGAAGAGAGGUGCAUACAGCAAACAUUCCUCCGUAUAAAGAAGAGACAGUACCAUGAUAUCUAUCCAUCCAUCUAUUUCCUAAACCACUCAUAUCUGGUCAAGGUCAGGGGGUUGGGGAUAGAGCAUAUCCCAGCAUGCAGUGGACGAGAGGCAGGAAUACACCUUGGACAGGCUGCCACUGUUCACUCACAUUCAUACCUAUGGGCAAUAAAAGAAUAGCCUACUGCA